GACUGUAGCGCGCGAAUAAGCGCCGGCUAAUUACGUGCCAGCAGCCGCGGUAACACGUAAGGCGCGAGCGUUGUUCGGAAUCAUUGGGCGUAAAGGGCGUGUAGGCGGCCCUGCAAGCCUGGCGUGAAAUCCCGGGGCUCAACCCCCGGAACCGCGCUGGGAACUGCUGGGCUGGAGCCGCUGUGGCGCAGCCGGAAUUCCAGGUGUAGGGGUGAAAUCUGUAGAUAUCUGGAAGAACACCGAUGGCGAAGGCAGGCUGCGAGCGGACGGCUGACGCUGAGGCGCGAAGGCGCGGGGAGCGAACAGGAUUAGAUAUCCUGGUAGUCCGCGCAGUAAACGAUGGCACACUGGGUGUCCGGGCAUGAGCCCGGGUGCCGAAGCGAACGCGUUAAGUGUGCCGCCUGGGGAAGUAUGCCCGCAAGGGUGAAACUCAAAGGAAUUGACGGGGGCCCGCACAAGCAGUGGAUUAUGUGGUUUAAUUCGACGCAACGCGAAGAACCUUACCGGGAUUUGACAUCCUACUAACGAAGUAGAGAUACAUCAGGUGCCCUUCGGGGAAAGUAGAGACAGGUGGUGCAUGGUUGUCGUCAGCUCGUGUCGUGAGAUGUUGGGUUAAGUCCCGCAACGAGCGCAACCCCUAUUGUUAGUUGCUACGCAAGAGCACUCUAGCGAGACUGCCGUUGACAAAACGGAGGAAGGUGGGGACGACGUCAAAUCAUCAUGCCCCUUAUGUCCUGGGCUACACACGUAAUACAAUGGCGGUCAACAGAGGGAUGCAAAACCGUGAGGUGGAGCGAACCCCUAAAAGCCGUCCCAGUUCAGAUUGUGGGCUGCAACCCGCCCACAUGAAGUCGGAAUCGCUAGUAAUCGCGGAUCAGCAUGCCGCGGUGAAUACGUAAACGGGCCUUGCACA
rnacentral:rRNA from 1 species